AAUCUUCAAUCUAACAAGCUUUGCGGUUUGUUAGGCUUGGACUUGGAGGCUUUGUCGGCCUAACGGUCGGCUCCUCUUAAAUGCAUUAGCUUGGUUCCUUGUGGAUCGGCUCUCGGUGUGAUAAUUGUCUACGCCGCGACCGUGAAGCGUUUGGCGAGCUUCUAACCGUCUCGCAUGAGACAGCUUUAUGAC
rnacentral:misc_RNA from 1 species